rnacentral:lncRNA from 1 species
CAAACUAAGGGAGAAAAUGAUGGAUAUAGAGAAGUGAGACAUCUUGGUGUUUCAGUUAGGAACACCGCCAAAGAAUGAGUGAAAAAGCAUUAUACAGCCUGAAAUACGUGAAGAGUUGUUCAGAAAAAAAGAUAAGGUACAAUGGAUACUUAAGAAUAUCAGCUAAAAGAAACUACAUUCACAUAAUAAAUCCAAGAAAAUUUGGAGUUGAAUGUUUCUCCUUUUUAAACUUCAUGGAGUCUCGACCGACCUUUAGGGGUUUGAGUUGCCUGCUGCAAAGCUUUUCUCUAUCCUUCUCCAGAUCGGUAACCUUCUUACUUAGCAAUAACAUAAGUUACAAGAAAAUAUGGUUAACAAAAAGGGAAAAUGAAUCAUACCAUUUAUAUGGGGUCUUGAAGUUAGGUUUUGGGGUUGAAGGAGGAACCAUGAUGUAGAAUGAAUACAAGGUUAUGGAAAUGAAUUCACUUAUAUGGAAUAAUGUUUCAAAAAUAAGGCAAAAUCCUCACUAUGGAAAUUGGGCAGAUCACAAUAACCUUUGGAAUAAUUCAAAGUUUCAAAGUCUGUUGACACGGCUCAACGGUGUUUCCACUUAUCAUAAGGAACAAUUCUUUUGGUCGGUACAUUACAAACAAUCAUGAUUAUGCUAAGGCAUGGAUGCCAAAACAAAAUUUCAUUACUAUUCACAAAAAGAGUAUCCACAAGGCCAACUAUCUUGUCGAUUCUACAACCUAAUAACAAAAAUAAAUCUCAUAAGAAUCUCUCUUUGGAAAGCUGCAAAAGGGAACGUUUCCUAAUAAUAAUACAUCCUUGCUAGGGCUAAGACCAGGGCGUAGGAACCUCAAAAUGAAGAUCAUGAGAUCAAUAUGUUUGCCCUAAAGAAAGCUGAUGACAUCUAGUCAUUACAUGAUUUUAUAUGUAUUUUGAUCACAAAUUGGAGUUCACAGGGCAUCUUAUGCAGCAAAAAGAGCAGCAAAACUGAAGAAAAUGCAAAGAAGAAAACGUGUCACGAUUUGGAACAAACGUGACACGAUUUUAGAAGACCAAAACAUGCUUUCGACAUUGAGGAAAACGUGUCACGAUGGCAAAAACGUGACAUGAUUUGAGGAAACCCUAAUUCAGUUGUUUGUUAUUCAGGAAAACGUGUCACGAUUUACUUAAAACGUGACACGAUUUACUUAAAACGUGACACGAUUUUGGGCGAAUUUUUGUGCCUAUUUAAGCUAAAGUAUAUUCCAAAGACAAGGGUUACUAUUUGAAGAGAGCAAAGUUCGAUUUUGAGACUACAAGACGGCUAGGAGGACGAUUUCUUCAUCCUUUUACUUAUUCAUGUAUGUAUGUAUUGAUUCCUCUAAUGAUUAUGUUAUUUAUAAACACCAUUAUGAGUAGCUAAAUCCAUUAGAGGUUAGGUCUGAGAUGUUUUUUUGUAACCCUAAUUGAACCAUGUUGCUGUGAAACUCUAUUUAUUGUGAAUGACAAUCUAGUUUUUAUUCAA